UUGACUAUAAAAGAAAACAUAAUGUUGAAUUCGCAGAAUUAAAUGGAAACUCACUAGUCAUGUGUGAGUCCCAGAUAUGCUCUAUUUAAUCCUCAAAGUGGAGGCUCCAAUUCUCCGUAGAGGUUUAUAUUCUGCGACUAAAAACAAGAACAGAAGUUAUUUAUCUAGAGAAGAAAGAAUGAAACACAAAGAUAUAUUAACUACUGUAAUAAUUUGUUUUGGGGAUACUUCCUAGUCCAACCCCAGCACUGCCAAUACUGAAUCAGAUGCCCUGCCUUUUCACAACACAACAUAAUACCAACCUAAAUCUUUAUCGAUAGAUUUGUAACUUUGGAUAGGCAUUGACAUUAUUUUGAUUCAGUAUCUACCUUCGACCUUCCUUCCAGAGUAGAUACUGGAAAUUUAGGUUGUCUUUUAGCUCCAAUUUUCCCCAGAAAAAAAAAAUUGGUUUCCCAUAUAAGUAUUGAAACCACUUAUUCUGACUCUGUCACUUUACAUAAAACUUGGUUCGGUUUGUAUUUGGAUGUUAACGGUUAAAUCAAGCAGUGCAAUUCCAAUUAGAUACACUUUGGACAAUCAUCAUAUUAAUUCAUCCCAAUAAAAAAUUCCCAAUUAUGUUUGUUUUCUUUCAUCAAAAGUUAUCAUCGAUUCAACCAUACCAACUGUAUGCAAAUCAACCAAAAAUAGUACUCAUGAAAAGGGAGGAGAAAGAGUCUAGAAUCUAGAUUAGCUGAAUUCAUGAAAAGGGAUUGAGUUUACCUGAUUUCUUGAAUGUUGGCCAAGAGUUCUGUCACUCUGUAGUUCUAACUUCUAAAAGAAAAUAGAUGAGCGCCAACAAGAUUAGGAGAACACUACACAGAGACUACAUCAUCAAUGUGACAAUGUUCAAGAUUGUUACUGCAAGCACUACAAAUUGAGCCUACAACCCAAAUUUUCUCUUUGAUUGCACCUAGAAAACUGGUUUUGC
rnacentral:lncRNA from 1 species